GGAUGACGGCCUUCGGGUUGUAAACCGCUUUCAGCAGGGAAGAAGCGCAAGUGACGGUACCUGCAGAAGAAGUACCGGCUAACUACGUGCCAGCAGCCGCGGUAAUACGUAGGGUACGAGCGUUGUCCGGAAUUAUUGGGCGUAAAGAGCUCGUAGGUGGUUGGUCACGUCUGCUGUGGAAACGCAACGCUUAACGUUGCGCGUGCAGUGGGUACGGGCUGACUAGAGUGCAGUAGGGGAGUCUGGAAUUCCUGGUGUAGCGGUGAAAUGCGCAUAUAUCAGGAGGAACACCGGUGGCGAAAGCGGUACUCUGGGCUGUAACUGACACUGAGGAGCGAAAGCAUGGGGAGCGAACAGGAUUAGAUACCCUGGUAGUCCAUGCCGUAGACGUUGGGCACUAGGUGUGGGGGGCAUUCCACGUUCUCCGCGCCGUAGCUACGCAUUAAGUGC
rnacentral:rRNA from 1 species